rnacentral:rRNA from 1 species
GACGAACGCUGGCGGCGUGCUUAACACAUGCAAGUCGAACGGAAAGGCCCCUUCGGGGGUACUCGAGUGGCGAACGGGUGAGUAACACGUGAGUAACCUGCCCUUGACUUCGGGAUAACUUCAGGAAACUGGGGCUAAUACCGGAUAGGAAUCCUUGCUGCAUGGUGGGGGUUGGAAAGCUUCGGCGGUUUUGGAUGGACUCGCGGCUUAUCAGCUUGUUGGUGGGGUAGUGGCUUACCAAGGCUUUGACGGGUAGCCGGCCUGAGAGGGCGACCGGCCACAUUGGGACUGAGAGACGGCCCAGACUCCGACGGGAGGCAGCAGUGGGGAAUAUUGCACAAUGGGCGGAAGCCUGAUGCAGCAACGCCGCGUGCGGGAGGACGGCCUUCGGGUUGGAAACCGCUUUCAGCAGGGGCGAAGCUUGUGGUGACGGUACCUGCAGAAGAAGCACCGGCUAACUACGUG